GAGAAGGCAAAGAAAAAGGCUUUUCGAGCUCGUCAAGCUCCUUCGGAACAACCAAAGCCAUGUUUCCAAACACCCUGUAACUGUUCUUCUGCGAUUAAAAAUCCAGACUUCAACACUAUUACUACCUUCCCUUUCACUGCGAGUAUGUGAU